rnacentral:rRNA from 1 species
UGGAGCAUGUGGUUUAAUUCGACGCAACGCGAAGAACCUUACCUGGCCUUGACAUGCAGAGAACUUUCCAGAGAUGGAUUGGUGCCUUCGGGAACUCUGACACAGGUGCUGCAUGGCCGUCGUCAGCUCGUGUCGUGAGAUGUUGGGUUAAGUCCCGUAACGAGCGCAACCCCUAUCCCUAGUUGCUAGCAGUUCGGCUGAGAACUCUAGGGAGACUGCCGGUGACAAACCGGAGGAAGGUGGGGAUGACGUCAGGUCAUCAUGGCCCUUACGGCCAGGGCUACACACGUGCUACAAUGGCGCGCACAGAGGGCUGCAAACCCGCGAGGGGGAGCUAAUCUCACAAAACGCGUCGUAGUCCGGAUCGGAGUCUGCAACUCGACUCCGUGAAGUCGGAAUCGCUAGUAAUCGUGAAUCAGAAUGUCACGGUGAAUACGUUCCCGGGCCUUGUACACACCGCCCGUCACACCAUGGGAGUGGAUUGCACCAGAAGUGGUUAGUCUAACCUUCGGGAGGACGAUCACCACGGUGUGGUUCAUGACUGGGGUGAAGUCGUAACAAGGUAACCGUA